rnacentral:ncRNA from 13 species
GUCACGAUAGCUCAAGUGGUAGAGUAGCGGCCUAUCAAGCCCAAGGUCGUGGGUUCGAAUCCCGCUCGUGACA